rnacentral:rRNA from 1 species
ACUCAAAGGAAUAGACGGGGGCCCGCACAAGCGGCGGAGCAUGUGGCUUAAUUCGAUGCGACGCGAAGAACCUUACCUGGGCUUGACAUGCGGGAUGGAACCGUGGAAACACGGCGCUCUUCGGAGCCCGCACAGGUGGUGCAUGGCUGUCGUCAGCUCGUGCCGUGAGGUGUUGCCUUAAGUGGCGCAACGAGCGCAACCCCUGUCCUUAGUUGCCAGCGGGUCAUGCCGGGAACUCUAGGGAAACUGCCGGUGCCAAACCGGAGGAAGGCGGGGAUGAAGUCAAGUCAUCAUGCCCCUUAUGUCCAGGGCUGCACACAUGCUACAAUGCGCGGUACAGAGGGCUGCGAUCCCGUAAGGGGGAGCGAAUCCCAAAAAGCCGCGCUCAGUUCGGAUCGAGGUCUGCAACCCGACCUCGUGAAGUCGGAGUCGCUAGUAAUCGCAGAUCAGCAAUGCUGCGGUGAAUACGUUCCCGGGCCUUGUACACACCGCCCGU